rnacentral:rRNA from 1 species
UACGUAGGGGGCAAGCGUUGUCCGGAAUUAUUGGGCGUAAAGAGCGCGUAGGCGGUCCGAUAAGUCGGCUGUGAAAGUCAGGGGCUCAACCCUUGAAAGCCGGCCGAUACUGUCGGACUAGAGUCCGGAAGAGGCAAGUGGAAUUCCCGGUGUAGCGGUGAAAUGCACAGAUAUCGGGAGGAACACCAAUGGCGAAGGCAGCUUGCUGGGACGGUACUGACGCUGAGGCGCGAAAGCGUGGGGAGCAAACAGGG